rnacentral:tRNA from 1 species
GAGAGAAAAAGGUUUUGUAGGUUUGUACUUCUAAUAUAGGUCUAGGGGUGGUUCAAAUCCAUCCUUCUCUUG